UAGCUUGCUAGAACCUACACACAGGUGCUGCACGGCUGUCGUCAGCUCGUGUCGUGAGAUGUGGGUUAAGUCCCGCAACGAGCGCAACCCUCGUCCUUAGUUGCUAACAGUUCGGCUGAGCACUCUAGGGAGACUGCCUUCGCAAGGAGGAGGAAGGUGAGGACGACGUCAAGUCAUCAUGGCCCUUACGGCCAGGGCUACACACGUGCUACAAUGGGGCGUACAGAGAGCUGCGAUACCGCGAGGUGGAGCCAAUCUCUUAAAGCGUCUCUCAGUUCGGAUUGUUCUCUGCAACUCGAGAACAUGAAGCUGGAAUCACUAGUAAUCGCAGAUCAGCUAUGCUGCGGCGAAUACGUUCCCGGGUCUU
rnacentral:rRNA from 1 species